UGGAUCUACAAAAUGAAGACCUCCAUCCUCUCUUCCCAGGGCUUAUUAAAGUUUUUUGAGAAGAUGAAGAGGAUCAUUUAUUGCCAAAAUACAUGGACUUGUUUGGAGUGAAGUGCUGAGGAUACUGAGGCCCGGAGGGUGAGCAAAGAGCAGGACUAAGAGUGACACUCCAGUCUUCUUGACUCUAAAGUCAGAUUUUCCCCCAUGACUUCAUGAUGCUCUCCAAGGGCUUCCUGGAUUUACUAAGACCCAGCUUUUUCCUCGUGAAUGUGGAAUACGUCCUACAGAAUGACCCAUUGGCAAAAUGGAAAGUGUCUAUGCCCUUCAAUUGCUUAGAGGAGCAAGAAUGCCCACCCAACUUCCAAUGCUUACCUUAACACAUUUACAUAAGAAGCAAGAAACAGACUUCUAAU
rnacentral:lncRNA from 1 species